rnacentral:rRNA from 1 species
CCUACGGGCGGCAGCAGUGGGGAAUAUUGCACAAUGGGGGCAACCCUGAUGCAGCGACGCCGCGUGAGUGAAGAAGUACUUCGUUAUGUAAAGCUCUAUCAGCAGGGAAGAAAAUGACGGUACCUGAGUAAGAAGCUCCGGCUAACUACGUGCCAGCAGCCGCGGUUAUACGUAGGGGGCGAGCGUUAUCCGGAUUUACUGGGUGUAAAGGGAGCGUAGACGGGAGUGCAAGUCUGGAGUGAAAGGCGGGGGCUCAACCCCCGGACUGCUAUUGAAACUGGACGGCUGGAGUGCAGGAGAGGUAAGCGGAAUUCGUGGUGUAGCGGUGAAAUGCGUAGAUAUUAGGAGGAACACCAGUGGCGAAGGCGGCUUACUGGACUGUAACUGACGUUGAGGCUCGAAAGCGUGGGGAGCAAACAGGAUUAGAUACCCCAGUAGUC